AUUGAACGCUGGCGGCAUGCUUUACACAUGCAAGUCGAACGGCAGCGCGGGCUUCGGCCUGGCGUCGAGUGGCGAACGGGUGAGUAAUGCAUCGGAACGUGCCCAGUAGUGGUGUAUAGCCCGGCGAAAGCCGGAUUAAUACCCCAUACGACCUUAGGGUGAACGCGGGGGACCGAAGGGCCUCGCGCUCUUGGCGCGGCCGAUGUCGGAUUAGCUAGUUGGUGGGGUAAAGGCUUACCAAGGCGACGAUCCGUAGCUGGUCUGAGAGGACGACCAGCCACACUGGGACUGAGACACGGCCCAGACUCCUACGGGAGGCAGCAGUGGGGAAUUUUGGACAAUGGGGGCAAGCCUGAUCCAGCCAUGCCGCGUGGGUGAAGAAGGCCUUCGGGUUGUAAACCGCUUUUGUUGGGGAAGAAAUCCUCUGGGCUAAUACCCCGGGGGGAUGACGGUACCGGAAGAAUAAGUACCGGCUAACUACGUG
rnacentral:rRNA from 1 species